rnacentral:rRNA from 1 species
GGAUAGCCUCGGGAAACCGGGAUUAAAACCUCAUAAUACGAAAGCUUCACAUGUUGCUUUCGUCAAAGAUUUAUCGGUAUGGGAUGGGCCUGCGUCUGAUUAGCUAGUUGGUGAGGUAACGGCUCACCAAGGCGACGAUCAGUAGCCGACCUGAGAGGGUAAUCGGCCACAUUGGAACUGAGACACGGUCCAAACUCCUACGGGAGGCAGCAGUGGGGAAUAUUGCACAAUGGGCGAAAGCCUGAUGCAGCAACGCCGCGUGAGCGAUGAAGGCCUUUGGGUCGUAAAGCUCUGUCCUUGGGGAAGAAAAAAACUGACGGUACCCAUGGAGGAAGCCCCGGCUAACUACGUGCCAGCAGCCGCGGUAAUACGUAGGGGGUCAAGCGUUAUCCGGAAUUAUUGGGCGUAAAGAGUGCGUAGGUGGUUAUGUAAGCGCGAGGUGAAAGGCAAUAGCUUAACUAUUGUAAGCCUUGCGAACUGCAUGACUUGAGUGCAGGAGAGGAAAGUGGAAUUCCUAGUGUAGCGGUGAAAUGCGUAGAUAUUAGGAGGAACACCAGUGGCGAAGGCGACUUUCUGGACUGUAACUGACACUGAGGCACGAAAGCGUGGGGAGCAAACAGGAUUAGAUACCCUGGUAGUCCACGCCGUAAACGAUGAGCACUAGGUGUCGGGGUCGCAAGACUUCGGUGCCGCAGUUAACGCAUUAAGU